rnacentral:rRNA from 1 species
UACGGGGGGGCAAGCGUUGUUCGGAAUUACUGGGCGUAAAGGGCUCGUAGGCGGCCAAUUAAGUCCGACGUGAAAUCCCCAGGCUUAACCUGGGACUGCGUCGGAUACUGAUUGGCUUGAAUCCGGGAGAGGUGCGGAAUUCCAGGUGUAGCGGUGAAAUGCGUAGAUAUCUGGAGGAACACCGGUGGCGAAGGCGGCAUCC